UACGAAGGGGGCUAGCGUUGUUCGGAAUCACUGGGCGUAAAGCGCACGCAGGCGGAUUGAUAAGUCAGGGGUGAAAUCCUGGAGCUCAACUCCAGAACUGCCUUUGAUACUGACGGUCUUGAGUUCGGGAGAGGUGAGUGGAACUGCGAGUGUAGAGGUGAAAAUUCGUAGAUAUUCGCAAGAACACCAGUGGCGAAGGCGGCUCACUGGACCGGAACUGACGCUGAGGCGCGAAAGCGUGGG
rnacentral:rRNA from 1 species